rnacentral:tRNA from 1 species
UUAAUUGAAACCAAAUAGAGGUUUAUCACUGUUAAUGAUAAAAAUGUGAUUAUCACCAAUUAAA